UACGAAGGGGGCUAGCGUUGCUCGGAAUCACUGGGCGUAAAGGGUGCGUAGGCGGGUCUUUAAGUCAGGGGUGAAAUCCUGGAGCUCAACUCCAGAACUGCCUUUGAUACUGAAGAUCUUGAGUUCGGGAGAGGUGAGUGGAACUGCGAGUGUAGAGGUGAAAUUCGUAGAUAUUCGCAAGAACACCAGUGGCGAAGGCGGCUCACUGGCCCGAUACUGACGCCGAGGCACGAAAGCGUGGGGAGCAAACAGG
rnacentral:rRNA from 1 species